ACUGGGCAUGGUGGCGCAUGCCUUGUAAUCCCAGCGGCUUGGGAGGCUGAGGCAGGAGGAUCACAAAUACAAAACCAGUCUCUGCAAUUUAGCGAGGCCCUAAGCAACUUGGUGAGACCCUGUCUCUA
rnacentral:sRNA from 1 species